UUUCGAGUGAAUGCUAUCUAGGGACUUGACACAUGCGAGUCGAAUGACAAAUACUUGUAUUUGAACAUGGCGAACGGGUGAGUAAUGAAUAGGCAAGCUACCCAUAGGAUUGGUGGAAUACCAAAUAUUAAAAAGGAUUAAUUCCGCCUAUGGAUGUACCUAUUGAAUAGAUUAGGUAGUUGGUAAGGUAACGGCUUACCAAGCCAAUGAUCUAUAGUUGGUCUGAGAGGACGAUCAACCACAGUGGGAAUGAGAAAGGCCCACACGAGCAAAGUAUCGGCAGCAGUGCGGAAUCUUGGUCAAUGGCCGAAAGGCUGAACCAGUCACCUAGAAGGACGGAUACAUUAAUUUGAUAAAGUCCUAACGGAAAGGAGGAUAAUGACUGUACUUUCCUAUUAAUCCCGACCAAUCUCGUGCCAGCAGUCGCGGUAAUACGAGAGGGGUAAGCAUUAUUCAUCAUUAAUGGGUCUAAAGGGUACGUAGGCUGUAUCAUAAGACUGGAAGGUAUCGAACUAAAUGAAUAAGAGCUUUUCAGUAACUAUGAAACUAGAGUGUAAUGGAGGAAAGAGGAACUCCGAGAGUAGGGAUGGAAUCUGUUGAUCCUCGGAAGACCGCUUAAGGCGAAGGCUUCUUUCUAACUAAACACUGACGCUGAGGUACGAAAGUAUGGGGAGCAAAACGGAUUAGAGACCCGUGUAGUCCAUACCGUAAACGAUGAGUGCCUUAGAUUGGUUAUUAAUCAGUCUAUAAAUGUAGAUUAAAGCACUCCACCUGGGGAGUACUGCCGCAAGGUUGAAACCCAAAAGUAUAGAGGGUCUUGAAAACCAGCAGUGAAGCAUGUUGUUUAAUGUGAUGAUCCGCACAACAUCUUACCACUCCUUGAAUGCUACACAGGCGUUGCAUGGCUGUCUUCAGUUCGUGUCGUGAGAUGUAAGGUUAAGUCCGCAUAACGAACAAAACCCCUGCAACUAGUUAAUAUCUAGUUGAGCAUCCAGUGAUAAACUGGAAUAAUUGGGACUAAGACAAGCCCUCAUGGCCC
rnacentral:rRNA from 1 species